rnacentral:rRNA from 2 species
AGCAGCCGCGGUAAUUCCAGCUCCAAUAGCGUAUAUUAAAGUUGUUGCAGUUAAAAAGCUCGUAGUUGAAUUUCAGGCCUGGCUGGACGGUCCGCCCUUCGGGUGAGUACUGUCUGUGGUCGGGUCCUACCUUCUGGCGAAGCGUCAUGGCCUUAACCGGCCGUGGCGGGGAACCAGGACUUUUACUGUGAAAAAAUUAGAGUGUUCAAAGCAGGCAAUCGCUUGGAUACAUUAGCAUGGAAUAAUGGAAUAGGACAAUGGUUCUAUUUGUUGGUUUCUAGGACCGUUGUAAUGAUUAAUAGGGAUAGUUGGGGGCAUUAGUAUUCAAUUGUCAGAGGUGAAAUUCUUGGAUUUAUUGAAGACUAACUACUGCGAAAGCAUUUGCCAAGGAUGUUUUCAUUAAUCAAGAACGAAAGUUAGGGGAUCGAAGACGAUCAGAUACCGUCGUAGUCUUAACCAUAAACUAUGCCGACUAGGAAUCGGGCGAUGUUGAAAAAAUGACGCGCUCGGCACCUCAUG